rnacentral:rRNA from 1 species
GAUGAACGCUAGCUACAGGCUUAACACAUGCAAGUCGAGGGGCAGCAUGAACUUAGCUUGCUCAGUUUGAUGGCGACCGGCGCACGGGUGAGUAACACGUAUCCAACCUGCCGAUGACUCGGGGAUAGCCUUUCGAAAGAAAGAUUAAUACCCGAUGGCAUAGUUCUUCCGCAUGGUAGAACUAUUAAAGAAUUUCGGUCAUCGAUGGGGAUGCGUUCCAUUAGGUUGUUGGCGGGGUAACGGCCCACCAAGCCUUCGAUGGAUAGGGGUUCUGAGAGGAAGGUCCCCCACAUUGGAACUGAGACACGGUCCAAACUCCUACGGGAGGCAGCAGUGAGGAAUAUUGGUCAAUGGACGAGAGUCUGAACCAGCCAAGUAGCGUGAAGGAGGACUGCCCUAUGGGUUGUAAACUUCUUUUAUACGGGAAUAAAGUGAGGCACGUGUGCCUUUUUGUAUGUACCGUAUGAAUAAGGAUCGGCUAACUCCGUG